rnacentral:tRNA from 1 species
UUCCAGAUGUCUCAGUGGUAAAGAAUCCGCCUGCAAUGCGGGAGACCUGGGUUUGAUCCCUGGGUUGGGAA